ACAAGCAGUGAAUGUGCUUUGGGGUGGGGUGACUGCGUACCUUUUGUAUAAUGGGUCAGCGACUUAUAUUCUGUAGCAAGGUUAACCGUAUAGGGGAGCCGUAGGGAAACCGAGUCUUAACUGGGCGAAUGAGUUGCAGGGUAUAGACCCGAAACCCGGUGAUCUAGCCAUGGGCAGGUUGAAGGUUGGGUAACACUAACUGGAGGACCGAACCGACUAAUGUUGAAAAAUUAGCGGAUGACUUGUGGCUGGGGGUGAAAGGCCAAUCAAACCGGGAGAUAGCUGGUUCUCCCCGAAAGCUAUUUAGGUAGCGCCUCGUGAACUCAUCUUCGGGGGUAGAGCACUGUUUCGACUAGGGGGUCAUCCCGACUUACCAACUCGAUGCAAACUACGAAUACCGAAGAAUGUUAUCACGGGAGACACACGGCGGGUGCUAACGUUCGUCGUGAAGAGGGAAACAACCCAGACCGCCAGCUAAGGUCCCAAAGUCAUAGUUAAGUGGGAAACGAAGUGGGAAGGCUCAGACAGCCAGGAUGUUGGCUUAGAAGCAGCCAUCAUUUAAAGAAAGCGUAAUAGCUCACUGGUCGAGUCGGCCUGCGCGGAAGAUGUAACGGGGCUAAACUAU
rnacentral:rRNA from 1 species